UUUACUUAGAGUUUGAUCCUAGCUCAGGGUGAACGCUGGCGGUAUGGAUAAGGCAUGCAAGUCGAACGGCCAAUUAGCAAUAGUUGGGACCCGUGGCAGACGAGGUAGUAACACGUAGGAACGUCCCCCAAAGUCGGGCAUAUUCCGUCGAAAGACGGUGCAAUUCCCGAUGGUCCCGUAAGGGUAAAGAUUUAUCGCUUUGGGAGCGGCCUGCGUAAUAUCAGCUAGUUGGUGAGGUAAUGGCUCACCAAGGCUAUGACGUUUAGG
rnacentral:ncRNA from 1 species